AACGUAGGAGACAAACGUUAUCCGGAGUUACUGGGCGUAAAGGGCGUGCAGGUGGCUUGAUAAGUUCGGCGUGAAAUUUCCCGGCUUAACCGGGGGACGUCGUCGGAGACUGUCGAGCUAGAGGGUGAUAGAGGCGUGUGGAAUUCCGGGUGUAGUGGUGAAAUGCGUAGAGAUCCGGAGGAACACCAGUGGCGAAGGCGACACGCUGGGUCAUACCUGACACUAAAACGCGACAGCAUGGGGAGCGAACGGG
rnacentral:rRNA from 1 species